CAAUAGCGUAUAUUUAAGUUGCUGCAGUUAAAAAGCUCGUAGUUGGAUAUCGGGUGGGAAUGGCCGGUCCGCCGUUUCGGUGUGCACUUGCUACGCCCACCUUGCUGCCGGGGACGUGCUCUUGAGUUCACGCUCGGGACACGGAGUCGGCGAGGUUACUUUGAGUAAAUUAGAGUGUUCAAAGCAGGCCUACGCUCUGAAUACAUUAGCAUGGAAUAACACGAUAGGACUCUGGCCUAUCUUGUUGGUCUGUAGGACCGGAGUAAUGAUUAAGAGGGACAGUCGGGGGCAUUCGUAUUUCAUUGUCAGAGGUGAAAUUCUUGGAUUUAUGAAAGACGAACUACUGCGAAAGCAUUUGCCAAGGAUGUUUUCAUUAA
rnacentral:rRNA from 1 species